CUUGAUGUUCAAUAAAUUUUUAUUGAAACCUUAUCUGUUCUUAUCAGUUUAAUAUCUGAUACGUCCCCUAUCUGGGGACCAUAUAUUAAAUGGAUUUUUGGAACAGGGAGAUGGAAGAAGAGCUUGCUCUGCCCACUCCACGCAUCGACCUGGUAUUGCAGUACCUCCAGGACCGGUGCACUUCUC
rnacentral:snRNA from 1 species